ensembl:snRNA U6 U6 spliceosomal RNA
AUGCUCUCUUUGACAGCACAUAUACUAAAAUUGGAACAAUACAGAGAAAAUUAGCAUGGCCCCUGAACAAGGAUGGCAUGCAAAUUCAUGAAGCAGUCCAUAUUUUU